ACACACACACACACACACACACACACACACACACACACACACACACACACACACACACACACACAGCUUUACGCUGGGCUCUAUGGACAGAAUUGCGGUUAAUGUUUGCGGAACGUUUUCUGCGUGAUCUCCAUUAACAUUAAAGGGACUUUCAGCAAACUUACGAUAACAAACUAUUUGCGUCCACACCUGCUCCGCCCAUUCUACAUUUCCUCACACACACAGGACCGGCAGUGGGGAGAGAGACAGAGAGGGAGAAGGGAAGAGCUACGGUGUCCCUAAAUAGACUUCGCCAACUCCCCGCAGCCUAUAAGAAUCACCGCCAUGUCAGGAUUAAGCAAAAACUACUCAUCCAUGAAACAUGUUAUGAUGGGUCAUGUCUAUGUAUUUUGCAGGGUUCAGCAUCUUGCCCAAGGACACUUCGGCAUGCAGAUGGGUCAGACUGGGGAUCGAACCGCCGACCUUCAGGUUGGAGGAUGACCACUCUACCCCUCAGCCACAGCCGCCCUGUAUACUGGUCCAAAAUACUGUUAGUGCUUGGACAAGAGGCAUGAAUACAGAGGAAAAAUAUAAUGUCCACAUUUGUG